rnacentral:misc_RNA from 1 species
AGUUAUUUCUGUGAGGCAGUUAGAAGCUCAAACUACAAAGAAUUACUUUAUUGAAAUUUAAAAUAUGGAUAAUGUGGAUGUGUAUUUAUUUCAGGGUAAGCUAUAUUUCCCAGUUAUUGUGAGUUCUUGCAUUCGGGUAUCUUCAAUAAUUAGAUCAUUUGUAUUGAAAACAUUUCAGUAUUCAUAAUUACAUUAAAUAUGAGGGCUGUGAUUAACAAAUGAACUUACAACUACGUUGUAAAUCUUUUUAGUCUUAUGGAAUAAUCCUUGAGGCCUAACCUGCAAAAUUAUACAGACCGAUUAUUAAUACUAGAAGUAUUUUUACUGGUAUUAAGGAAAAAAUUUGGUAACUUAUAAACAUGAUGAAACAUGAGCAAUUAUAAAUUUGGUCUUUUAAAAAAACAAAGCGAAGGAUGUUUUUUGUCAAAAGCAGAUAUAAGGAAGUUCCUACUUUUUAUUACAAUUUAGAAUUAGUAAAUGUACUGAUACUUGUGCAUGUAGCGGUACUUGUUUUUAUUUAGUUCAUAGAAAACAAAAGCGACAAGGUUUGACCCAUGCUUUAUGGACAGGCGUUGGCAGAUGCUCAUAGACAUGUAACAGUAUCGCAAUUUACUGAUUCAUAAAAUGGGGUAAUUAAAUAAAACUCAGUUUACAAAUGAUUAAUCAAAUGAAAAACUUUUUUAUACAGUCUGUACAUUAUUCUUAGUAUUGUAUUACAAAAAGUCAUGUAUAAAGGCAUUUCAAUUUGAGGUUCCUAAAAUAUGUAAUGUUUAUUUUUGUUCUACUCAACAUUCAGAUUUUGGUUUCAUGUAUUUUUUUCAUUUUAUUAUAGAUUUUUACAUGUUUUAUUUUUAAACCUAGGAAUGAAUAAAAUUUGACAAUUUAUUGUAACAAAGACAGUGAAAUCAAUUUUCUGUGUCAUCUUUUUUAAGAUGUUGAUGACUUCUUUCAAUAAUUUGUAUAUCAAUGAGAAUAAAUACCUGCCAGUCUU